rnacentral:rRNA from 1 species
UACGUAGGGGCGAAGCGUUGUCCGGAUUCAUUGGGCGUAAAGCGCUUUAAGGCGGUUCGCUAAGUCGGGUGUGAAACCUCCAGGCUCAACCGUGGAGACGCCACUCGAUACUGGCGUGACUAGAGUUCGGUAGGGGACCACGGAAUUCCUGGUGUAGCGGUGAAAUGCGCAGAUAUCAGGAGGAACACCAGUGGCGAAGGCGGUGGUCUGGGCCGAUACUGACGCUGUAGAGCGAAAGCGUGGGGAGCGAACAGG